CAAGGCCGUAGCCGUAGUUCAGGCCGUAGCCGAGGAGACCGUGGCCGUAACCGUAGCUGCCGACACCGUAGCCGAGGGAGCCAACACCGUAGCCGUAGUAGGCUGGGGCAGCGUGAGCAACACCGAAGGUGGCGACGGCUGGGGCAGCGUGGGCCACAUGGGCAACACCGUAGGUGGCGACGGCUGGGGCAGCGUGGGCCACAUGGGCAACGCCAUAG